UUAUUAUAAUUAAGGGUAAAGUUCAAAUAUCAGGUUUCGCACUUUUUCAUUUUAGUAUCCUAUGAUUUAAAAUGUAUCAAUUUAGUACUUUAUGAUUUCAUUUUUUUCUUUUCGUCAGUUCUUCCGUUAAGUUUUUAUUAAAUUAUAUUCAAAAAACUUCAAAUACUCCACCUAUAAUUUAUCAAAUGUUCAUUUUAGUACCCUUUAGUUUUAAGUUUAUUACUGAUUUAACGAAAAAAAUUAGUGGAGAGAAUAACAAAAAAAGAAAAAUGAAACCACAUGGUACGAAAGUGAUACACUUUAAACCACAAGGUAUUACAAUGAGAAAGUGUGAAACUAUAGGGAUGAUAUUUGAAGUUUUUCUUAUAAUUAAUUAUUUACUAACCUCUUUAAAA
rnacentral:lncRNA from 1 species